ACCCUCACGAUCACCCCAAACCAGACAUUUAGCUACUUGAUAAGUUGAUCCUCCUAGAGUCCUACUUCUUGUUUUAUGUUAAUAGUUGUUGAGCUUUAUCCGAAACAGAUAACUUUACCAACGCAAAGAAGUGUCCAACGAAGGCACGCCCAUCCUCUAUUAUUUAUUAUCUCCAACAAUAAAAGAAAAAUGAAUAUUUUAGUUAGUGGCUGUUGUGAUUCGAAUGUAGCCUUAUGACGUAUGAAUUGAAAGACGAUAGUUGCUUCCACUAAUUGCAAGCUCCCUCCUUAUUUUUCACCUCACAGCCUUCUCUCAGUUUAUAAAUAGGACUCUGGACUGUACUUGCUACCAGUCAAUUACUCGGUAAGACGCCCUCGCUAUGCAAGCUCAGCACUCUAACACAUGGUCUAUGAGCGUGUUCAAUCAAGUCACGCUAACACUUGGUCGUAUUUGCUCCCUCGAGCGCCUUGUAUUCGCGCUCAGUUAUUCCCUUUCAUGUGCCACCAUAUUUAUCAUCAAGAAAUCUCCUGGAAUAGGCUUAGAAGCAUGUAUUGAAGCUAGGUCACAUUUACAUAGCAUAGCUUUGUGGAACUUUAGCUUCCUAAGAGACUAACUAUUAGGAGGUAGUAAAUUUCAAUUUUGAUUUUGAAGGAAAAGCAUAUGACAAGAGUUCUAAGUUAAGGAUGUCAUUUUAUAGAAAGAAGUAUGACAAGGCAUAUUGAAAUUAUGUCAGAUUAUAAAGUGGCUCAUUGAAGAAUAUUACUGAGUCAUUAUUCAAAGAUCAGCAUUAUAACUGCUGAGGAAUCAGGACAUAUUGAUGCCUUCAACAACAUCAAAAGGCAUGUCCUUUCAAUAGCCGUUUUGAGGGUUUCUAUCUUUGCAAGUCAAAUAGGAAGUCUUAAAUAACAUCUGAAGCUAUAAGUUGAAGCUCAACUAUCAACCAAUUGGAUCAAUAUUCCCAACUAUAGAAGCCGCAAAGGUUGUUGAUUCAUUGAAUAAUGCAAGCAGAGGAGAGUAAAAGCCUGCAUUAAAUCAAGUUAUGGUUGCCUCAAUAAGUCAAAUACUGAUCACAGACUAGUACUUUUUUCUGCUACUUCAUUUAUCUGUCAUAAUUAUUUUUUUUAAAAAGAAGGUUAUGAUUAAUGCUUCAGUUAUAAGACUCAAUCAGUCAAUGGAUCUAAAUAAUCCAAGUAGUAAUGCGACUGUUUAUGCUCUUCUGUUUUGUAACCUUUUUCGUAGGAUAAAUAAUUUAUUCAUUAAAGAACAACUUUAUGAAGCUUGAUCCUAAGAAACCCAUUAUUUUUCCAGAAUAAAAUGUUGUUGAUAAUCAAAGUUUGGCCGGGAAAUAAGUUAAGUUGUCUAAGGAUUGUUCUAGACAUGCAUUCCACUCAUGUAUUCUCUAUCAAUUCAAUUUUUAACUAAAAUUUAUUAAUUA